rnacentral:rRNA from 1 species
UUUAGAGGAAGUAAAAGUCGUAACAAGGUUUCCGUAGGUGAACCUGCGGAAGGAUCAUUACCGAACCGUCGACACGAGUUGUUGCUGGUCCUCAAAUGGGGGCAUGUGCACACUCUGUUUACUCAUCCACUCACACCUGUGCACCCACUGUAGUUCUGUGGCUUGGGGGGCUCUGUCCUCUUUGCUGUGGUUCUAUGUCUUUACACACACACUGUAAUAAAGUUUCAUGGAAUGCAUGACGCGUCUAACGCAAUACAAUACAACUUUCAGCAACGGAUCUCUUGGCUCUCGCAUCGAUGAAGAACGCAGCGAAAUGCGAUAAGUAAUGUGAAUUGCAGAAUUCAGUGAAUCAUCGAAUCUUUGAACGCACCUUGCGCCCUCUGGCUAUUCCAGAGGGCAUGCCUGUUUGAGUAUCAUGAACACCUCAACUCUCAUGGUUUUGCCGUGAUGAGCUUGGACUUUGGGGGUCUUGCUGGCCUGUGGUCAGCUCCUCUCAAACGAAUCAGCUUGCCAGUGUCUGGUGGCAUCACAGGUGUGAUAACUAUCUACGCUUGUGGUUUUCCACCAGGUAACCUUCAGUGAUGGAGGUUCGCUGGAGCUCACAAAUGUCCCUCCUCAGCGAGGACAGCUUCUUGAAUGUUUGAUCUCAAAUCAGGUAGGGCUACCCGCUGAACUUAAGCAUAUCAAUAAAGCGGAGGA